rnacentral:rRNA from 1 species
CGGGAGGCAGCAGUGAGGAAUAUUGGGCAAUGGAGGCAACUCUGACCCAGCCAUGCCGCGUGCAGGAAGACGGCCCUAUGGGUUGUAAACUGCUUUUAUACGGGAAGAAACCCAACUACGUGUAGUUGGCUGACGGUACCGUAAGAAUAAGCACCGCUAACU